rnacentral:rRNA from 1 species
AGCGAACGCUGGCGGCAGGCCUAACACAUGCAAGUCGAACGGAUCCUUCGGGAUUAGUGGCGGACGGGUGAGUAACACGUGGGAACGUGCCUUUUGGUUCGGAACAACUCAGGGAAACUUGAGCUAAUACCGAAUGUGCCCUUCGGGGGAAAGAUUUAUCGCCAUUAGAGCGGCCCGCGUCUGAUUAGCUAGUUGGUAGGGUAAAGGCCUACCAAGGCUACGAUCAGUAGCUGGUCUGAGAGGAUGAUCAGCCACAUUGGGACUGAGACACGGCCCAAACUCCUACGGGAGGCAGCAGUGGGGAAUCUUGCGCAAUGGGCGAAAGCCUGACGCAGCCAUGCCGCGUGAAUGAUGAAGGUCUUAGGAUUGUAAAAUUCUUUCACCGGGGAAGAUAAUGACUGUACCCGGAGAAGAAGCUCCGGCUAACUUCGUGCCAGCAGCCGCGGUAAUACGAAGGGGGCUAGCGUUGCUCGGAAUUACUGGGCGUAAAGGGAGCGUAGGCGGACAGUUAAGUCAGUGGUGAAAGCCCAGGGCUCAACCCUGGAAUUGCCUUUGAUACUGAUUGUCUUGAGUAUGGGAGAGGUAUGCGGAACUCCGAGUGUAGAGGUGAAAUUCGUAGAUAUUCGGAAGAACACCAGUGGCGAAGGCGGCAU